rnacentral:rRNA from 1 species
GAUGAACGCUGGCGGCGUGCCUAAUACAUGCAAGUCGAGCGAACAGACGAGGAGCUUGCUCCUCUGACGUUAGCGGCGGACGGGUGAGUAACACGUGGAUAACCUACCUAUAAGACUGGGAUAACUUCGGGAAACCGGAGCUAAUACCGGAUAAUAUAUUGAACCGCAUGGUUCAAUAGUGAAAGGCGGUUUUGCUGUCACUUAUAGAUGGAUCCGCGCCGCAUUAGCUAGUUGGUAAGGUAACGGCUUACCAAGGCGACGAUGCGUAGCCGACCUGAGAGGGUGAUCGGCCACACUGGAACUGAGACACGGUCCAGACUCCUACGGGAGGCAGCAGUAGGGAAUCUUCCGCAAUGGGCGAAAGCCUGACGGAGCAACGCCGCGUGAGUGAUGAAGGUCUUCGGAUCGUAAAACUCUGUUAUUAGGGAAGAACAAAUGUGUAAGUAACCAUGCACGUCUUGACGGUACCUAAUCAGAAAGCCACGGCUAACUACGUG